rnacentral:misc_RNA from 1 species
CUCCUCUGCUUCACUCACACUGUGAAUUCUGACCAACCACAUUAGUAUCAUCGGAUUGAUGCUGGGCAAAAGUGCCAGCAGCAGGAGAUACGAGGUGGGUUUGUUGUUGAAUAUUGUUUGAUAUACUUGUAUUAAUAUUGCUCCACUUAAACCAAGAAAUCCCUUCAUGAUGCCAACGGCAGUGCCGCUAUAGUUGAGGAAAUUCCGCACAGAAGUGACGACAUUAGCGGUAUU